rnacentral:rRNA from 1 species
ACGGGAGGCAGCAGUGGGGAAUAUUGGACAAUGGGCGCAAGCCUGAUCCAGCGACGCCGCGUGAGUGAAGAAGUAUUUCGGUAUGUAAAGCUCUAUCAGCAGGGAAGAUAAUGACGGUACCUGACUAAGAAGCCCCGGCUAACUACGUGCCAGCAGCCGCGGUAAUACGUAGGGGGCAAGCGUUAUCCGGAUUUACUGGGUGUAAAGGGAGCGUAGACGGCAUGGCAAGUCUGAAGUGAAAGCUCGGGGCUCAACCCCGGAACUGCUUUGGAAACUGUCAGGCUAGAGUACCGGAGGGGUAAGCGGAAUUCCUAGUGUAGCGGUGAAAUGCGUAGAUAUUAGGAGGAACACCAGUGGCGAAGGCGGCUUACUGGACGGUAACUGACGUUGAGGCUCGAAAGCGUGGGGAGCAAACAGGAUUAGAUACCCUGGUA